AUUGAACGCUGGCGGCAGGCCUAACACAUGCAAGUCGAACGAGUGGCGGACGGGUGAGUAAUGUCUGGGAAACUGCCUGAUGGAGGGGGAUAACUACUGGAAACGGUAGCUAAUACCGCAUACCAUCGGAUGUGCCCAGAUGGGAUUAGCUAGUAGGUGGGGUAAAGGCUCACCUAGGCGACGAUCCCUAGCUGGGCUGAGAGGAUGACCAGCCAGCCUGGAACUGAGACACGGGCCAGACUCAUACGGGAGGCAGCAGUGGGGAAUAUUGCACAAUGGGCGCAAGCCUGAUGCAGCCAUGCCGCGUGUAGGAAGAAGGCCUGCGGGUUGUAAAGUACUUGCAGCGGGGAGGCGUUACCCGCAGAAGAAGCACCGGCUAACUCCGUGCCAGCAGCCGCGGUAAUAC
rnacentral:rRNA from 1 species